rnacentral:rRNA from 1 species
CCUACGGGAGGCAGCAGUGGGGAAUAUUGCACAAUGGGCGCAAGCCUGAUGCAGCCAUGCCGCGCGUGUGAAGAAGGCCUUCGGGUUGUAAAGCACUUUCAGCGGGGAGGAAGGCGUUAAGGUUAAUAACCUCGGCGAUUGACGUUACCCGCAGAAGAAGCACCGGCUAACUCCGUGCCAGCAGCCGCGGUAAUACGGAGGGUGCAAGCGUUAAUCGGAAUUACUGGGCGUAAAGCGCACGCAGGCGGUCUGUCAAGUCGGAUGUGAAAUCCCCGGGCUCAACCUGGGAACUGCAUUCGAAACUGGCAGGCUAGAGUCUUGUAGAGGGGGGUAGAAUUCCAGGUGUAGCGGUGAAAUGCGUAGAGAUCUGGAGGAAUACCGGUGGCGAAGGCGGCCCCCUGGACAAAGACUGACGCUCAGGUGCGAAAGCGUGGGGAGCACACAGGAUUAGAUACCCCGGUAGUC